GCGGCAUGCUAAUACAUGCAAGUCGAGCGGACUGAUGGGAGCUUGCUCCCAUCAGUCAGCGGCGGACGGGUGAGUAACACGUGGGUAACCUGCCUGUAAGACUGGGAUAACUCCGGGAAACCGGGGCUAAUACCGGAUAACUCAUUUCCUCGCAUGAGGAAAUGUUGAAAGGUGGCUUUUAGCUAUCACUUACAGAUGGACCCGCGGCGCAUUAGCUAGUUGGUGAGGUAACGGCUCACCAAGGCGACGAUGCGUAGCCGACCUGAGAGGGUGAUCGGCCACACUGGGACUGAGACACGGCCCAGACUCCUACGGGAGGCAGCAGUAGGGAAUCUUCCGCAAUGGACGAAAGUCUGACGGAGCAACGCCGCGUGAGUGAUGAAGGUUUUCGGAUCGUAAAACUCUGUUGUUAGGGAAGAACAAGUACCGUUCGAAUAGGGCGGUACCUUGACGGUACCUAACCAGAAAGCCACGGCUAACUACGUGCCAGCAGCCGCGGUAAUACGUAGGUGGCAAGCGUUGUCCGGAAUUAUUGGGCGUAAAGCGCGCGCAGGUGGUUUCUUAAGUCUGAUGUGAAAGCCCCACGGCUCAACCGUGGAGGGUCAUUGGGAAACUGGGGAAACUUGAGUGCAGAAAGAGGGAGAG
rnacentral:rRNA from 1 species